ACACACACACACACAACAGAAGAAGACUUGAAGUCUAUAUACAGGAGGCUAGUUCUGACUGGUCACAGGUCUGGAUUGUAGACUGUAGGAAAUGUAGGCAUCCAAGGAGCUAUUGGGAAAAGCUUACAAAACACAGUGGAGAAAAGCAGAAGAGUUGGGAAAGGCAUCCUUUUGUCCUGGAUAGCUACAGUUUUCCCCACCCAAAUAUGGGAAGCUUCUUUGCAAGCUCAAUGUAUGAGAAGUGGAAGGGCCAACCUCUAGCCUGUCUCUAAGGAAAGCAGAGUUGCACCCUUAUGUGAUUUUUGUCUCCCUUUUAUCCAGUCGGAGUCUAGCCAGUCAGAGGCGUCUGUCCGGAGGGAGGAAUCACCCAUGGAUGUGGACCAGCCAUCUCCCAGUGCUCAAGAUACUCAAUCCAUUGCCUCCGAUGGAACCCCACAGGGGGAGAAGGAAAAGGAAGAGAGACCACCUGAGUUACCCCUGCUCAGCGAGCAGCUGAGUUUGGACGAGCUGUGGGACAUGCUUGGGGAGUGUCUAAAGGAACUAGAGGAAUCCCAUGACCAGCAUGCAGUGCUAG
rnacentral:sRNA from 1 species